rnacentral:rRNA from 1 species
AAAUUGAAGAGUUUGAUCAUGGCUCAGAUUGAACGCUGGCGGCAGGCCUAACACAUGCAAGUCGAGCGGUAGCACAGAGAGCUUGCUCUCGGGUGACGAGCGGCGGACGGGUGAGUAAUGUCUGGGAAACUGCCUGAUGGAGGGGAUAACUACUGGAAACGGUAGCUAAUACCGCAUAAUGUCGCAAGACCAAAGUGGGGACCUUCGGGCCUCAUGCCAUCAGAUGUGCCCAGAUGGGAUUAGCUAGUAGGUGGGGUAACGGCUCACCUAGGCGACGAUCCUAGCUGGUCUGAGAGGAUGACCAGCCACACUGGAACUGAGACACGGUCCAGACUCCUACGGGAGGCAGCAGUGGGAAUAUUGCACAAUGGGCGCAAGCCUGAUGCAGCCAUGCCGCGUGUGUGAAGAAGGCCUUCGGGUUGUAAAGCACUUUCAGCGGGGAGGAAGGCGGUGAGGUUAAUAACCUCAUCGAUUGACGUUACCCGCAGAAGAAGCACCGGCUAACUCCGUGCCAGCAGCCGCGGUAAUACGGAGGGUGCAAGCGUUAAUCGGAAUUACUGGGCGUAAAGCGCACGCAGGCGGUCUGUCAAGUCGGAUGUGAAAUCCCCGGGCUCAACCGGGAACUGCAUUCGAAACUGGCAGGCUAGAGUCUUGUAGAGGGGGUAGAAUUCCGGUGUAGCGGUGAAAUGCGUAGAGAUCUGGAGGAAUACCGGUGGCGAAGGCGGCCCCUGGACAAAGACUGACGCUCAGGUGCGAAAGCGUGGGGAGCAAACAGGAUUAGAUACCCUGGUAGUCCACGCCGUAAACGAUGUCGAUUUGGAGGUUGUGCCCUUGAGGCGUGGCUUCCGGAGCUAACGCGUUAAAUCGACCGCCUGGGAGUACGGCCGCAAGGUUAAAACUCAAAUGAAUUGACGGGGCCCGCACAAGCGGUGGAGCAUGUGGUUUAAUUCGAUGCAACGCGAAGAACCUUACCUGGUCUUGACAUCCACAGAACUUUCCAGAGAUGGAUUGGUGCCUUCGGGAACUGUGAGACAGGUGCUGCAUGGCUGUCGUCAGCUCGUGUUGUGAAAUGUUGGGUUAAGUCCCGCAACGAGCGCAACCCUUAUCCUUUGUUGCCAGCGGUUCGGCCGGGAACUCAAAGGAGACUGCCAGUGAUAAACUGGAGGAAGGUGGGGAUGACGUCAAGUCAUCAUGGCCCUUACGACCAGGGCUACACACGUGCUACAAUGGCAUAUACAAAGAGAAGCGACCUCGCGAGAGCAAGCGGACCUCAUAAAGUAUGUCGUAGUCCGGAUUGGAGUCUGCAACUCGACUCCAUGAAGUCGGAAUCGCUAGUAAUCGUAGAUCAGAAUGCUACGGUGAAUACGUUCCCGGGCCUUGUACACACCGCCCGUCACACCAUGGGAGUGGGUUGCAAAAGAAGUAGGUAGCUUAACCUUCGGGAGGGCGCUUACCACUUUGUGAUUCAUGACUGGGGUGAAGUCGUAACAAGGUAACCGUAGGGGAACCUGCGGUUGGAUCACCUCCUUA